UCUAUGUAAUUAAGCACACACCAUAUUCUUUCGUAAUAUGUGUUUACUAUCGAUAAGCUCGCAGGUUGAAGGAUGCUAAUCACCCCACAUGUACGCCCUAUUGCCUUGAUGUGAUGGCCUAUAUAGCUUCACCUGGAGGUGUUCACGUCUCCACUUGCCCAUUGGUAACCUUGAUGAAGUGGUUAAUUGGUUAGGAACUGAAAUAUUUGAAUAAUGUUGAGUCAUCAGGCCAUUUAUUUAUCCAUUAUUUCGUUUAUAAUUUUUCAUUUGUACACAUCGAUGAUUUUCUAGAUUGAGACCAAGAAUUAAGAUUGAUCCAUAUUUCACUUUAUUAGUUUGUUGCAUUUAUGAAGGCUGGUCGUCUUCCUAGAGGAAUCAAACAUUAUGGGUUCCCAUACAAUUCGUACGUGUCAUGCUGGGUUACAAGUGAACUUAAAUGCCAUUUCCUGGAAAUCGGUGUAAGAUAACAUCACCCUUUAUGAAGUUCAAUUGUUUCAAUGCUCUUAGAAGCCAACCUGAGUACCAAGGACAGAAAUACACGACUAUGCCAUCAAUGCGCCGCCGCCGAUUGAACCCAUGGGCGCGAGACUGGGAGACGUUUUUUACGGGCGUAUGGGCCACCAUCCUCGAGACAGCGCCAUGGACGGUACUGGCUGCAGCAGCGGGACCUUACCCUGCUCUGGCCCAUGAGACACCUAGCGAUGUAUCAAAAUCUGUCCUGCAGAAUAAAGGAGCGUUGAGGAUGAUGGUUUCCAUGUUGGCUUGGAUGUUGCUUGUUUGGUAGUGGCCUUUAAUA